rnacentral:hammerhead_ribozyme from 1 species
AUCUAGCUGACGAGUCUCAAAUAGGACGAAACGCGCGUUUUGAAU